rnacentral:rRNA from 1 species
UACGUAGGGUGCAAGCGUUGUCCGGAAUUACUGGGCGUAAAGAGCUCGUAGGUGGUUUGUCGCGUUGUCCGUGAAAACUCACAACUCAAUUGUGGGCGUGCGGGCGAUACGGGCAGACUGGAGUACUGCAGGGGAGACUGGAAUUCCUGGUGUAGCGGUGAAAUGCGCAGAUAUCAGGAGGAACACCGGUGGCGAAGGCGGUUCUCUGGGCAUGACCUGACGCUGAGGAGCGAAAGUGUGGGGAGCGAACAGG